GCGCCUGUAGCUCAGAGGAUAGAGCUUGGGAUUCCUAAUCCCAGUGCCGCAGGUUCGAGUCCUGCCAGGCGCA
rnacentral:tRNA from 1 species